rnacentral:rRNA from 1 species
GACGAACGCUGGCGGCGUGCUUAACACAUGCAAGUCGAACGGUGAAGGGACCGGUUUUUGCUGGUUCUGGAUGAGUGGCGAACGGGUGAGUAACACGUGAGUAACCUGCCCCCUUCUUCUGGAUAACCGCAUGAAAGUGUGGCUAAUACGGGAUAUUCUGCGCCUGCUGCAUGGUGGGUGUGGGAAAGAUAUUGUUUCGGUGGGGGAUGGGCUCGCGGCCUAUCAGCUUGUUGGUGGGGGGAUGGCCUACCAAGGCGGUGACGGGUAGCCGGCCUGAGAGGGUGGACGGUCACACUGGGACUGAGACACGGCCCAGACUCCUACGGGAGGCAGCAGUGGGGAAUAUUGCACAAUGGGCGCAAGCCUGAUGCAGCGACGCCGCGUGAGGGAUGGAGGCCUUCGGGUUGUAAACCUCUUUCGCCAGUGAAGCAGGCCUGUCCCUUUUGUGGGUGGGUUGACGGUAGCUGGAUAAGAAGCGCCGGCUAACUACGUG